UACGAAGGGUGCAAGCGUUAAUCGGAAUUACUGGGCGUAAAGCGCGCGUAGGUGGUUUGUUAACGUUUGGAAUGUGAAAGCCCCCCGGGGCUCAACCUGGGAACUGCAUCCAAAACUGGCAAGCUAGAGUAUGGCAGAGGGUGGUGGAAUUUCCUGUGUAGCGGUGAAAUGCGUAGAUAUAGGAAGGAACACCAGUGGCGAAGGCGACCACCUGGGCUAAUACUGACACUGAGGUGCGAAAGCGUGGGGAGCAAACAGGAUUAGAUACCCGGGUAGU
rnacentral:rRNA from 1 species